UUUAUGGAGAGUUUGAUCCUGGCUCAGGAUGAACGCUGGCGGCGUGCCUAAUACAUGCAAGUCGAGCGAACGGACGAGAAGCUUGCUUCUCUGAUGUUAGCGGCGGACGGGUGAGUAACACGUGGAUAACCUACCUAUAAGACUGGGAUAACUUCGGGAAACCGGAGCUAAUACCGGAUAAUAUUUUGAACCGCAUGGUUCAAAAGUGAAAGACGGUCUUGCUGUCACUUAUAGAUGGAUCCGCGCUGCAUUAGCUAGUUGGUAAGGUAACGGCUUACCAAGGCAACGAUGCAUAGCCGACCUGAGAGGGUGAUCGGCCACACUGGAACUGAGACACGGUCCAGACUCCUACGGGAGGCAGCAGUAGGGAAUCUUCCGCAAUGGGCGAAAGCCUGACGGAGCAACGCCGCGUGAGUGAUGAAGGUCUUCGGAUCGUAAAACUCUGUUAUUAGGGAAGAACAUAUGUGUAAGUAACUGUGCACAUCUUGACGGUACCUAAUCAGAAAGCCACGGCUAACUACGUGCCAGCAGCCGCGGUAAUACGUAGGUGGCAAGCGUUAUCCGGAAUUAUUGGGCGUAAAGCGCGCGUAGGCGGUUUUUUAAGUCUGAUGUGAAAGCCCACGGCUCAACCGUGGAGGGUCAUUGGAAACUGGAAAACUUGAGUGCAGAAGAGGAAAGUGGAAUUCCAUGUGUAGCGGUGAAAUGCGCAGAGAUAUGGAGGAACACCAGUGGCGAAGGCGACUUUCUGGUCUGUAACUGACGCUGAUGUGCGAAAGCGUGGGGAUCAAACAGGAUUAGAUACCCUGGUAGUCCACGCCGUAAACGAUGAGUGCUAAGUGUUAGGGGUUUCCGCCCCUUAGUGCUGCAGCUAACGCAUUAAGCACUCCGCCUGGGGAGUACGACCGCAAGGUUGAAACUCAAAGGAAUUGACGGGGACCCGCACAAGCGGUGGAGCAUGUGGUUUAAUUCGAAGCAACGCGAAGAACCUUACCAAAUCUUGACAUCCUUUGACAACUCUAGAGAUAGAGCCUUCCCCUUCGGGGGACAAAGUGACAGGUGGUGCAUGGUUGUCGUCAGCUCGUGUCGUGAGAUGUUGGGUUAAGUCCGCAACGAGCGCAACCCUUAAGCUUAGUUGCCAUCAUUAAGUUGGGCACUCUAAGUUGACUGCCGGUGACAAACCGGAGGAAGGUGGGGAUGACGUCAAAUCAUCAUGCCCCUUAUGAUUUGGGCUACACACGUGCUACAAUGGACAAUACAAAGGGCAGCGAAACCGCGAGGUCAAGCAAAUCCCAUAAAGUUGUUCUCAGUUCGGAUUGUAGUCUGCAACUCGACUACAUGAAGCUGGAAUCGCUAGUAAUCGUAGAUCAGCAUGCUACGGUGAAUACGUUCCCGGGUCUUGUACACACCGCCCGUCACACCACGAGAGUUUGUAACACCCGAAGCCGGUGGAGUAACCUUUUAGGAGCUAGCCGUCGAAGGUGGGACAAAUGAUUGGGGUGAAGUCGUAACAAGGUAGCCGUAUCGGAAGGUGCGGCUGGAUCACCUCCUUU
rnacentral:rRNA from 1 species